rnacentral:rRNA from 1 species
UACGAAGGUCCCAAGCGUUAUCCGGAUUUAUUGGGUUUAAAGGGUGCGUAGGCGGGUUAUUAAGUCAGUUGGUGAAAGCCUGCAGCUUAACUGCAGAAUUGCCAUUGAUACUGAUGAUCUUGAGUAUGAUUGAGGUGGGCGGAAUGUGUCAUGUAGCGGUGAAAUGCUUAGAUAUGACACAGAACACCGAUUGCGAAGGCAGCUCACUAAAGUCAUAACGUGACGCUGAUGCACGAAAACGCGUUGGGGAGCAAACAGG